GACGAACGCUGGCGGCGUGCCUAAUACAUGCAAGUCGAGCGAAGUUUUUCUGGUUCUUGCCCUAGAAAAACUUAGCGGCGAACGGGUGAGUAACACGUAAAGAACCUGCCUCAUAGACUGGGACAACUAUUGGAAACGAUAGCUAAUACCGGAUAACAGCAUUAACUGCAUGGUUGAUGUUUAAAAGUUGGUUUUGCUAACACUAUGAGAUGGCUUUGCGGUGCAUUAGCUAGUUGGUGGGGUAAAGGCCUACCAAGGCGACGAUGCAUAGCCGACCUGAGAGGGUGAUCGGCCACACUGGGACUGAGACACGGCCCAGACUCCUACGGGAGGCAGCAGUAGGGAAUCUUCCGCAAUGGGCGAAAGCCUGACGGAGCAACGCCGCGUGAGUGAAGAAGGAUUUCGGUUCGUAAAGCUCUGUUGUUAGGGAAGAAUGAUUGUGUAGUAACGAUACACAGUAGAGACGGUACCUAACCAGAAAGCCACGGCUAACUACGUG
rnacentral:rRNA from 1 species